UACGAAGGGGGCUAGCGUUGUCCGGAAUCAUUGGGCGUAAAGGGCGCGUAGGUGGCGGGACAAGCGUGCGGUGAAAGCCUGGGGCUCAACCCCGGGUCGGCCGUGCGAACUGUUUUGCUUGAGCACUGUAGAGGCAGGCGGAAUUCCGGGUGUAGCGGUGGAAUGCGUAGAGAUCCGGAAGAACACCGGUGGCGAAGGCGGCCUGCUGGGCAGUAGCUGACACUGAGGCGCGACAGCGUGGGGAGCAAACAGG
rnacentral:rRNA from 1 species